GACUGUGUAUGACGUCAUAAUGAUACACAGAAUAUUCAACGUAACAAUUAACGUGACGAAACAAUUGUCACCACAACAAAACUUGUGUAAAGAUGUCGGAGAAAGUCAUGGAGAUGUUAGAUGUUGGAGUCGAUGCAGUAAAGGAUGUGGAUGCAAAAUUAGCCAUAUUAAAGUUCACGUACAGCUGGGCUGAUGAAGUUGAGAAGGAGGAGAGAUUGAUUGAGGAGCUCGAGGCUGAAAAGCAAGCACUGGGACAAAGCGAGGACACAGAA